rnacentral:rRNA from 1 species
GACGAACGCUGGCGGCGUGCCUAACACAUGCAAGUCGAACGGAAAGGCCCUGCUUUUUUGGGCUGCUCGAGUGGCGAACGGGUGAGUAACACGUGAGUAACCUGCCCUUGACUUUGGGAUAACUUCAGGAAACUGGGUCUAAUACCGGAUAGGAUCUCCUGCUGCAUGGUGGGGGUUGGAUAGUUUCGGCGGUUGGGGAUGGACUCGCGGCUUAUCAGCUUGUUGGUGGGGUAGUGGCUUACCAAGGCUUUGACGGGUAGCAGGCCUGAGAGGGUGACCGGACACAUUGGGACUGAGAUAAGGCACAGACUACUACGGGAGGCAGCAGUGGGGAAUAGUACACAAUGGGCGGAAGCCUGAUGCAGCCACGCCGCGUGCGGGAUGACGGCCUGCGGGUUGUAAACCGCUUUCGCCUGUGACGAAGCGUGAGUGACGGUAAUGGGUAAAGAAGCACCGGCUAACUACGUG